AGCACUAUUUUUUUGUUACAAAUUGAUUGUGAUUCGUAUAUUCGUGCUAUAAUAGGUCUUUUGUACAAUAAACCACAAAUAAUUAUAAUUAAAAAUAAAUAAUUAAAAAUUAAACUGAACUUACUUUAUAAUUAAAAAUAAAAUAAAUUUUAUUUAUAAAUUUAAAUUGGUUUACAAAUAAAUUCUGGUUUACUAAACUAAACCAGAUAUUAAAAAAUAAAGUUAAACCACUACAAUUUCCUAACUCUACACCAAAACAAACCUAAAAAAUAAAUUGACCCUAAUGAAACCGCCGCUUCUUCUUCUUACGCCUCCACAUGCCGUCGCGUCUUCUUCCUCGGCUUGGACCUGCUCGCCGUCGUCACCGUCCUCUCCACACCAGAGCUCGGACCUGCUCGCUGUUGUCGUCUCCAACAAAUCUUCCUCUCCUCCAUCUUCUUCCCCAUCUCACCGUCGUCGCGUCUUCUUCCCAUCCUUCCUUUGUAGAGGUGGAGAAUCCAUGUCCGUCUCUGCCUCCUCCGCCGUCAAGCUCAAACCGUAAAUCUUUCCAUACCAGAGCUUUUCUACUUCUGUUUGCGAAUGACUCAGGGGCUGGUCACACCAGAGCUCCUCGUUGGCGUCGUCGUUGUUGAGAGAUGAUUGAGAGGGAAACAAUGGAGAAGAAGGAUGUGAGAGUUGUUAAAGAUUUGAUACAUGAAAAAUUGAUUGUCGAAGAGACAGAGUUCUGGAGAGAAGAAGAUUGGAAGAAAAGAAGAAAAAGGAAUCGACAGAGGAAAUCUUGGAGAGAGAGAGAGAUACACACAAAAAUUGAAUCUGAACCAUUGAUUAUAAUUAAUCAAUGGCUAAAAAUGGCGAUCCUCACAUCACUAUCUUAACCAAUAGAAAAUUAGGAGUAUUUUUUUUUCUUUUAUGUCUUCGACAAGAGUGUAUUAUUUAUUAUGUUUCGUUUAUUAAAGCUUUAAUAGUAUAUAGAAGGUAUGGUGAGUUUGUUUUAUGUAGGGUAUAUGAUCAAGAUAAUGUUUGAGAAGUAUGGCUUUUUAUGUUUCAAAAUAGAGUUUAAUUAUAGAAUGAAGAUUUAG
rnacentral:lncRNA from 1 species